GACGAACGCUGGCGGCGUGCUUAACACAUGCAAGUCGAACGGAAAGGCCCUGCUUUUGUGGGGUGCUCGAGUGGCGAACGGGUGAGUAACACGUGAGUAACCUGCCCUUGACUUUGGGAUAACUUCAGGAAACUGGGGCUAAUACCGGAUAGGAGCUCCUGCUGCAUGGUGGGGGUUGGAAAGUUUCGGCGGUUGGGGAUGGACUCGCGGCUUAUCAGCUUGUUGGUGGGGUAGUGGCUUACCAAGGCUUUGACGGGUAGCCGGCCUGAGAGGGUGACCGGCCACAUUGGGACUGGGAUACGGCCCAGACGCCUACGGGAGGCAGCAGUGGGGAAUAUUGCACAAUGGGCGGAAGCCGGAUGCAGCAACGCCGCGUGCGGGAUGACGGCCUUCGGGUUGUAAACCGCUUUCGCCUGUGACGAAGCGUGAGGGACGGUAAUGGGUAAAGAAGCACCGGCUAACUACGU
rnacentral:rRNA from 1 species